AGUUUUUUUUCUAUCAAAACAAAAAUAAGAUUUCGACUUCUUUGUUCUCUCCGGCAUCUGGGACAUAGAGACCGACAUCUUAUGAUUCUCAAUCAAUACUAAGAAUAUGUAUGGAGAUCGUUAGUGAAAAACAGCAGCAUAUAAAGAACGGGAGCACGAGUCAUCGCAGACGAAACUAACUAUUGAAAAUCUGCUUAUAAAACUCAUAUCCUAACACGCCGGCUUCGGAGGAGAAGACGAACAGUGAAUAUAAAGAGGAAAAUAUGUUUUUAUAAUUAUUCAAUUACUUAUAGAAUUUGGUUGCUGUAUAGUCAUGUGGUAAUGAUGUUUCUUGUCCAAUUUCAUUUUGUGUGAACAGCAUUGAUUCAGAUAGUGGAGUCGCCUUGUUGAAUCUGUCCUUGCUAGGAGGAUAGUUCAUGUAUGGGAAGAGCUUCUCUAUAAAUACAGCGAACAUAGAAUCAGUUUAUUGGAGAUGUAGUGAAGUUGAUAGAUCGGGAAGUUCCAUCAGAGGAGUUUCAUGAGGUUGCUUUUACAGAGUAUUGUCUCUUUGGCAAGCCAGUGACAGUGAUGUUCGUGAUAAGAGCAUUGUUGAAAAUAAAACAUGUGGGAGAAUGACCCACCACAAGUUGAGCAGAAAGAAGUUACUCUCCCACGCUGAGACAGAGAAAGUAAACAACAACUCAAGGGAUUGACGUUCUUGACUAACAGAGUGUUUGAAGUGACGAAUUUCAUGUUGAUGACCGGUUCUCUCAUUCGCGUUGAAAAUUUAGAUGAGCAUUGAAAUGCGAGUUGCAAGAUAGAGCUGAAGGGAUGGCGAUUACAUCGGCGAUAUUGGCUUUCCAAGCAGCAUAAAUAGGUUUUCAGUUCCAAUUUCCUCGUAUCUCGCAAGCGAAAGGAAGUGAUUAUCAUUACGAUAAUCAGUACGGAUUAUGGUUGUGUCUCCAAGGAUGGUCAUUUUGUAUUGAAGUUUUGUUGGUCUGUAUUGACCUCCAGUACCGCUUAUCUUAAAAUUUUCAACCACUCUCCAUUCUCCUACAGGAUUAACUCAAGAGUCUCCCCGCCGAAAUUGGUUUUCGAUGGUUUCCACGAAUGAAGAAGUUUGACACGGACUCGCCAUUCGUCUUUGAAAGGGAGGUGAAUAAUCUAGGUUAUAUAGAGUUAUUGCGUGCGGAGAUAUUGUAACUAAUUAUUCUGGCAUUCGACGGCUUUUAAGG